rnacentral:rRNA from 1 species
AGCAGCCGCGGUAAUUCCAGCUCCAAUAGCGUAUAUUAAAGUUGUUGCAGUUAAAAAGCUCGUAGUUGAAUUUCGGGGUUAGUAGGUUGGUCAUGCCUCUGGUAUGUACUGGUCUCACUGAUUCCUCCUUCCUGAUGAACCUUAAUGCCAUUAAUUUGGUGUUUUGGGGAAUUUGGACCGUUACUUUGAAAAAAUUAGAGUGUUUAAAGCAAGCUAACGCUUGAAUACAUUAGCAUGGAAUAAUGAAAUAGGACGUUCGAUCCUAUUUUGUUGGUUUCUAGGAUUGACGUAAUGAUUAAUAGGGAUAGUUGGGGGCAUUAGUAUUCGAUUGUCAGAGGUGAAAUUCUUGGAUUUAUUGAAGACUAACUACUGCGAAAGCAUUUGCCAAGGAUGUUUUCAUUAAUCAAGAACGAAAGUUAGGGGAUCGAAGACGAUCAGAUACCGUCGUAGUCUUAACCAUAAACUAUGCCGACUAGGGAUCGGAUGAUGUUAAUUUUUUAAUGACUC